rnacentral:rRNA from 1 species
CUCCCGUUGAUCCUGCCAGAGGUUACUGCUAUCGAGGUUCGACUAAGCCAUGCGAGUCGAAUGUAGCAAUACAUGGCGAACUGCUCAGUAACACGUGGACAACCUGCCCUUAGGACGGGGAUAAACCCGGGAAACUGGGUAUAAUACCCGAUAGGUCUCGAUUGCUGGAAUGCAUCGAGAUUUAAAGCUCCGGCGCCUAAGGAUGGGUCUGCGGCCUAUCAGGUAGUAGUGGGUGUAGCGUACCUACUAGCCUACGACGGGUACGGGUUGUGAGAGCAAGAGCCCGGAGAUGGAUUCUGAGACACGAAUCCAGGCCCUACGGGGUGCAGCAGGCGCGAAAACUUUACAAUGCUGGCAACAGCGAUAAGGGAACCUCGAGUGCCAGGUUACAAAUCUGGCUGUCGAGAUGCCUAAAAAGCAUUUCAUAGCAAGGGCCGGGCAAGACCGGUGCCAGCCGCCGCGGUAACACCGGCGGCUCGAGUGGUAACCGUUAUUAUUGGGUCUAAAGGGUCUGUAGCCGGCCGGAUAAGUCUCUUGAGAAAUCUGGCAGCUUAACUGUCAGGCUUUCAGGAGAUACUGUCUGGCUCGAGGCCGGGAGAGGUGAGAGGUACUUCAGGGGUAGGGGUGAAAUCUUGUAAUCCUUGAAGGACCACCAGUGGCGAAGGCGUCUCACCAGAACGGACCUGACGGCAAGGGACGAAAGCUAGGGGCACGAACCGGAUUAGAUACCCGGGUAGUCCUAGCCGUAAACGAUACUCGCUAGGUGUCGGCCACGGUGCGACCGUUGUCGGUGC